UAGAACAAACAAGUAACAGACUUAAAAUCUGUUGUCCGCAAGGACGUGCCGGUUCGAUUCCGGCCUAGCGCACCA
rnacentral:tRNA from 1 species